UCCGACCGGCCGGACACGCAUGUGACCGGCCCACAAGUGGAGGCUCCGAUCUCCCACCCGACUGGCCUCACCGGCUGGCGGGUCAACGGUCCGGCUGCGCCCCGCGGAGACUUCGCGGCGGUGCUCCAGAUCCACGUGGAGCCCCGCCUGUGUCCCGUCCGGGGCAUUUUUC
rnacentral:ncRNA from 1 species